rnacentral:misc_RNA from 1 species
AAGUCGUAACAAGGUUUCCGUAGGUGAACCUGCGGAAGGAUCAUUACAAAAAUUUUCCAAACGAGAAGUCGCCCAGGGGGGUUUUGGUAGAGAGCUUAAAAAACUCUCUCCUUCCCCUGGGUUAGGAGAAGGGGGAAGUCUUGGGCUUUUAUUAGCUUUUUGAUUUCCCGUCCACUCCAACCCUUAUAAACUCCUUGUGCUUUGUUGACCCUUGAAUUGGGGUCUUCAUAUGCACAAUUAAUACCCUUUGGGUAUUUUACCUUUUUGUAUUUUUGAUUAGAAAAUAAAAAAAAAGGCAUAGCCCUUGUUUUUCAAAGUUGGAGUAACAAAUAGAGAACUCUCUUAUGUUUUCCUUCUUUUCUAAACCAGUGUGUGAUUGCUUUUUUAUAAAUCUAAAUAAAACUUUCAACAACGGAUCUCUUGGCUCUC